UAAAAGGAAGAAUCACAAGUCUCUCCCUUUAAAUCAAAAGCUAGAAAUGAUUAAGUUUAGUGAGGAAAGCAUGUUGAAAGCCCAGAUGGGCCAAAAGCGAAGUCUCUUGCACCAAACAGUUAAAGUUGUGAAUGCAAAGGAAAAGUUCUUGAAGGAAAUUCAAAGUGCUCCUCCAUGAAUGCAUGAAUCAUAAGCAAAUAAAACAGCCUUGUUGCUAUCAUGGGAAAAGUUUUAGUGAUCUGCAUGGAAAAUAAAACCAGCCACAAUACUCCUUUAAGCCAAAGCCUAAUCCAGAGAAAGGCCCUAAAUCUCUUCAAUUCUAUGAAGGCUGAGAGAAGUGAGGGAACUG